rnacentral:rRNA from 1 species
GAUGAACGCUGGCUACAGGCUUAACACAUGCAAGUCGAGGGGCAGCAUGCCGGUUGCUUGCAACCGGUGAUGGCGACCGGCGCGCGGGUGAGUAACGCGUAUCCAACCUUCCCGCGACCAAGGGAUAACCUGCCGAAAGGCAGACUAAUACCUUAUGUCCUCCUUUGAAGGCAUCUGACGAGGAGCAAAGAUCCGUCGGUCACGGAUGGGGAUGCGUCCGAUUAGCUUGUUGGCGGGGCAACGGCCCACCAAGGCUUCGAUCGGUAGGGGUUCUGAGAGGAAGGCCCCCCACACUGGAACUGAGACACGGUCCAGACUCCUACGGGAGGCAGCAGUGAGGAAUAUUGGUCAAUGGGCGGAAGCCUGAACCAGCCAAGUAGCGUGCAGGACGACGGCCCUACGGGUUGUAAACUGCUUUUAUGCGGGGAUAAAGUUGCCCACGUGUGGGCUUUUGCAGGUACCGCAUGAAUAAGGACCGGCUAAUUCCGUGCCAGCAGCCGCGGUAAUACGGAAGGUCCGGGCGUUAUCCGGAUUUAUUGGGUUUAAAGGGAGCGCAGGCCGCCGUGCAAGCGUGCCGUGAAAAGCAGCGGCCCAACCGCUGCCCUGCGGCGCGAACUGCUCGGCUUGAGUGCGCCGGAAGCGGGCGGAAUUCGUGGUGUAGCGGUGAAAUGCUUAGAUAUCACGAAGAGCCCCGAUUGCGAAGGCAGCCCGCUGUGGCGCCACUGACGCUGAGGCUCGAAGGUGCGGGUAUCGAACAGG